CCCCCCCCCCCCCCCCCGCCCACAUAUACCCUGCUCCAUGUGUAUCAUUGUCAGACACACACGAGCUGGUGGGGUCUGUGUGUCCUGAGUUUUGGGGGCUGCCCGGGACCCUGGUCUGAUUUCCCUGCAGGUUUCAGAUCUCAACCAUACCGGUGUCAGGCCGGAGUCACUGCUGGCUCUGGCAGGGGGGGAAUGCGGAUGGGCCAAUGGGAUCAGCCUCUGCCUGCCUGUCCCUGGGAGCUGUCAGGGGAGUCCAGGGCAGCUCAUUCUUCAGGCUGAGGGAUCACGUCCACAUUUCGCUCCAGAUGGGCCCGUCUUCCAGGAGACAGGGAAGGGAAAUGGCUGUGAUGGAGCCAGCUCAGGGGCUGGUGACCUUCGAGGAGGUGGCUGUGUAUUUCACCCAGGGGCAGGGGGC